rnacentral:rRNA from 1 species
GACGAACGCUGGCGGCGUGCUUAACACAUGCAAGUCGAACGGAAAGGCCCUGCUUUUGUGGUGUGCUCGAGUGGCGAACGGGUGAGUAACACGUGAGUAACCUGCCCUUUACUUUGGGAUAACUUCAGGAAACUGGGGCUAAUACCGGAUAGGAGCUCCUGCUGCAUGGUGGGGGUUGGAAAGUUUCGGCGGUUGGGGAUGGACUCGCGGCUUAUCAGCUUGUUGGUGGGGUAGUGGCUUACCAAGGCUUUGACGGGUAGCCGGCCUGAGUGGGUGACCGGCCACAUUGGGACUGAGAUACGGCCCAGACUCCUACGGGAGGCAGCAGUGGGGAAUAUUGCACAAUGGGCGGAAGCCUGAUGCAGCAACGCCGCGUGCGGGAUGACGGCCUUCGGGUUGUAAACCGCUUUCGCCUGUGACGAAGCGUGAGUGACGGUAAUGGGUAAAGAAGCACCGGCUAGCUACGUG